GCUAGUAAUCGCGGAUCAGCACGCCGCGGUGAAUACGUUCCCGGGCCUUGUACACACCGCCCGUCACACCAUGAGAGUCUGUAACACCCAAAGCCGGUGGGAUAACCUUUAUAGGAGUCAGCCGUCUAAGGUAGGACAGAUGAUUAGGGUGAAGUCGUAACAAGGUACC
rnacentral:rRNA from 1 species